rnacentral:rRNA from 1 species
AACGAACGCUGGCGGCAGGCUUAACACAUGCAAGUCGAACGGGUGUAGCAAUACAUCAGUGGCGCACGGGUGAGUAACGCGUGGGAAUAUGCCCUUUGGUACGGAACAACCUCGGCAAACUGAGGCUAAUACCGUAUAAUAACUGCGGAUCAAAGAUUUAUCGCCAAAGGAUUAGCCCGCGUUGUCUUAGGUAGUUGGUGAGGUAACGGCUCACCAAGCCGACGAUCCAUAGCUGGUCUGAGAGGAUGAUCAGCCACACUGGGACUGAGACACGGCCCAGACUCCUACGGGAGGCAGCAGUGAGGAAUAUAGGACAAUGGAGGAAACACUGAUCCAGCCAUGCCGCGUGAGUGAUGAAGGCCUUCGGGUUGUAAAGCUCUUUUACCCCUGACGAUAAUGACGGUAAGGGGAGAAAAAGCCACGGCUAACUUCGUGCCAGCAGCCGCCGCAG